GCAGCAGGUGAAACGGAUCAGCAGAACACUGAGGACUGAUGGCCGACCCGUUUUAAAAUGUUCUGUGCCGUUCUUGGAUCUGAACCAAGCAUCAUCUUCCUCUGGGCACAAGAUAAUCAGUCCAGUUGUCAGCAAGACUUCACCUCUGAGUGAAAUGAUUCUGCAUCAACAUCACAGUUCUUGUGUUUCAGACAAAGAGAAACUUCAUCAGGUUAAUAUUUAUGAACUUAUAUUCAGAAAUAUAAGUUAUGAAUAUACUUAUAUUCAUAGUUAUACACAGUUUUUGUAUAAAUGCAAAACAUUUUUCUCAAACAGUUUUUUUCAAACUGUGUUUGAGAAAAAUGUUUCUAGAGGAAGAAAGCAGCUGAAUCUGAAGAGGAGGAAGAGGAGGAAGAGGAGGAGCUGAUCUGUUCCUGAUCUCUAAAGAGACUCAAACUUCCUCCUUCAGUUCAGUUCAACUCUCCAACAUUAACUCUGCUCAACAUGGACUAUUAUGGUCUGUCUCUGCUCAUCAUCUCUCUGCUAACAGGAGUCAGAUGCCAACAACUCACUGCGUUUCAGAAAGAAGAGUUCGCUGUAGGAAGCAGCAAAGUUACUCUGUCCUACACUUACUCCAAAACAGCAGACGGCACCGAUUAUUUCUUCUGGUAUCGACAAUAUCCUGGAAAACCUCCAGAGUUCCUGAUCUCCCACACAGGAACAGGAACUAAACUCCAGGAUCCGGUUCCUGGUUUCUCCUUCAACGUGAAUGCUGAUAAAACCCAGAUGGAUCUGCUGAUCUCCUCUGCUGCAGUGACAGACUCUGCUGUGUACUACUGCGCUGUGAGGCCCACAGUGACAGGAAACACCAGAACCCUGUACAAAAACUUGCAGUACUCCACAGCAGCCACUAGAGGGCCUCACUCCCUGUUAAACCACUAAAACCUGCAGUACUCCA